AUGAGGAUAUUGCUUAGAUGGUAAAGUACUUGUUUAGCAUGGGAGAGGUUGUGGGUUCGAUACCCCACUUCUCUAA